UCAGAUCACAAGAACAGCAUAACAAGGACAACACCUUUUUUUUUUCACAUCUGCUUAUUCUUCUUUUUUUUUUUUGUCUCUAUCUUCAACGAACAGAAGCACAGAUUGAUUGUUGAUUGUACAACCCGGUUACCCCAUUUGUGAACUGCCUGUUUCGUCUCCGAUUUCUAACAACAAUAAAACCUUCACCAUCUUCAUUUUUCUUAUUAUUUUCAUCUAUUGCUUUUGACUGCUCAUGUUCAUUUGACUGAGUAACCUGGUCUGUCUUUUCUUCGUCUCCAUAGAGGACUUUUAUAAUUGCACUGUCAUUGGCAAUUGCAUCCGAAGGACUUUCAAACUUCUUCUCGCCGAGUACAGGCUCACUUCCAGAAUCAACAUUGUGCUGAACUGAAUUCACAAUAAAGCUUAGAAUUAUUUGCCUUGCAAGUUCCGCCUUCUCAUACUCACAGCCGGUCUUUCUUGGACUACCAUCUUCGACUCUAUUGCUGGAUUCCUCGUUUAAUAUCUCCUGUUCUGCCUUGCUCUUUUCAAGCAUAUAGUUUGACUCAUUUGGAACAUUUAAAUCUCUAUUUCCAGGAUAUGUUUGCCAAGCUUUCCUGGGUACAAACUCAGGUGCAUGUGGAUUCAUGCUCCUAGAAGGCAUUGUCAUGGGAGUUUGAUAUUUCAGCAAACCUUGUUUCAUGCGGUAUGAUAUUGUAUUUCUAUAGUACAGUGGUGAUCUAGGUCCACAAG
rnacentral:misc_RNA from 1 species